rnacentral:rRNA from 1 species
GACGAACGCUGGCGGCGUGCUUAACACAUGCAAGUCGAACGAUGAACCCGGAGCUUGCUCCGGUGGAUUAGUGGCGAACGGGUGAGUAACACGUGAGUAACCUGCCCUUGACUCUGGGAUAACUGCGGGAAACUGUAGCUAAUACCGGAUACGACCCUCGGCGGCAUCGCCAGGGGGUGGAAAGAAUUUCGGUCAAGGAUGGACUCGCGGCCUAUCAGCUAGUUGGUGAGGUAACGGCUCACCAAGGCGACGACGGGUAGCCGGCCUGAGAGGGUGACCGGCCACACUGGGACUGAGACACGGCCCAGACUCCUACGGGAGGCAGCAGUGGGGAAUAUUGCACAGUGGGCGCAAGCCUGAUGCAGCGACGCCGCGUGAGGGAUGAAGGUCUUCGGAUUGUAAACCUCUUUCAGUAGGGACGAAGCGAAAGUGACGGUACCUAAAGAAGAAGCACCGGCUAACUACGUGCCAGCAGCCGCGGUAA